CCAGACUCCUACGGGAGGCAGCAGUGGGGGAUAUUGCACAAUGGGGGGAACCCUGAUGCAGCGACGCCGCGUGAGUGAAGAAGUAAUUCGUCAUGUAAAGCUCUAUCAGCAGGGAAGAAUAAAUGACGGUACCUGAGUAAGAAGCCCCGGCUAACUACGUGCCAGCAGCCGCGGUAAUACGUAGGGGGCAAGCGUUAUCCGGAUUUACUGGGUGUAAAGGGAGUGCAGGCGGCUUGGCAAGUCUGGAGUGAAAGCCCGGGGCCCAACCCCGGGACUGCUUUGGAAACUGCCAUGCUAGAGUGCUGGAGAGGUAAGCGGAAUUCCUAGUGUAGCGGUGAAAUGCGUAGAUAUUAGGAGGAACACCAGUGGCGAAGGCGGCUUACUGGACAGUAACUGACGUUGAGGCUCGAAAGCGUGGGGAGCAAACAGGAUUAGAUACCCGAGUA
rnacentral:rRNA from 1 species